GAUGAUGUUUAAGAGCAUUUUUACUUGACACGUAUUGCUUAAAGCAUUUCUAUGGGGCUAAGAUGCAGGUUUUAUCUUGGCUAAAAGUAUAUUAUAAAAGUGUAUUAUAAAAUUCAACAAGAGAAGACCAAAACAGGAACAUUACUGGUCAAUUUCAUCCAUGUGAUCAGAGAGAUUUACACACUUUGUUUUUUAGCUGUCUGCAUCAUUUAAAAAAAUUUUUUUAUCAAGAUUAUCUUCAGGGUCUCUUCAGUCAAGGAAAUUAACUGACAAAUUAAUGUGAAAUGUUUUUUCAACAUUAUUUUUUAAAAUAGCAAUUUAAUGUCUAAACAUAACAUUCAGUAACCAUAGUGAAACUAACAAAUAAAAUUAAACUAAACUAACAACUAAAUUAUCUUUAACUAACUAAAUUACUUUUCCCAAUGAAUAUAGUUGAAAUGGUGACUUAUUCAAGGGCUGUACUUACUUUUUCCAUACCACUGUAAAAAAAUUUUAGGAAAAGCACCAUCAGACAGAUGGCUAGAAAGAAAUCUUACUCAGAGAUUCAGAAAACGAAUAGAGAUAAAAUGAAUAAAAUCACAAAUUAAUUGCUUGGGUUUUUUUUUAACAGUACAUGUAAUAAGAACUCUGCUUAAUGGAAUCUACUCGGGUUUAAGUUUUCUGUUCUCCAUUAACACCUGAAAUCCCAGAAGAUCCAUUGUGUAAAAACCUCAAAGGCAUUAGUUGUCUCAUUCGAGUCUGGAUCAUUGUGUAAAUGAGUUAAAAACGUCUUCCUCUGCACAGGGCAAUUCUGUCCUGCAUAUAGGCCUACACAUGUAUAUAUCAGCACAUCAGCAGUGUUUCAUUCUCAACUGCAAAUGCAGCCCUCAAAGUAAAUAUUUUGAUGUCGGCAGAAGAACUCCCAUCACACCCACAGCUCUGUGUUGGUUGGCUGUGCGCUGUUGGUAUGUCUGUAAGCCUCAACAUGGCAGACUUCUUGGAGUGGCUCUGUAUGGCUGCAGCUGCUUGGACUGCACAUCUUGGCAUUUCCAUCCAAGGAAGAGGAUUCUAUUUUUUCCCCUCUCCAUUUUUGGCGGGAAAGCGAGUGAAUGACGGCAAGCAGACAGGCUGACCCAGGGCUCAGGUGGCAGCUGUGCUACGACUUCUCUGCCAGGUCAUGGCUGAUGGUAUGUCCACUUUUCCUCUUUUCAAUUUCCUUUCCUUUCUCUUUCUCCAUCGCUCACUUUUCAACUCAUUGC
ensembl:lncRNA